rnacentral:rRNA from 1 species
CAUGUAGGCGUCCUGAUAAGUCGAAUGUGAAAUCCCGUAGCUCAACUACGGAACUACAUUCGAAACUGUCGGGAUUGAGUACGGAAGGGGAGAAUGGAAUUCCCGGUGUAAGGGUGAAAUCUGUAGAUAUCGGGAGGAACACCAGUGGCGAAGGCGAUUCUCUGGUCCGAUACUGACGCUGAAAUGCGAAAGCUAGGGGAGCAAACAGGAUUAGAUACCCUGGUAGUC